UCAGGGCUCGUCGGGGGAGCUACUUAGGAGAGUCUUGGAGCUCCCACCGAUGCGGGAUUAUUGCGUGAGACUCCACGUUAGUCAUCCAGUUUAGGUUUAGUCUUUGAGUGCAUGCCUGCUAUAGUUAAGUGUCCUGGCAGCUGCUGCUAUUGUUUCCUGCAGGAGGAGCAUGGGAAGCCAGAAGAGCAGUGAGCACCGGGAGUGCAGACACAGGGGAGCAGCGAGCACAAGGAGGACACGACACAGGAGUCUGGGGAAAGCACGGGGAUUUAUUGUUGUUUGGUUCCAUGCACUGUAAAUAAACGCACUGCUUAUACACAGAGCUCCGCGCCUGGGUCCUCCUUCCCUACAUCCCCACGGGUUGCCCUGGCAAACCCUGACAAGUACGAUGCAAACCUGAAACGAUGUUCGCUUUCAAAGUAAAAGUUGUGACUGUGGCCUUGAAACCAACACGUUUGAAAAGCUCGCAACAGCCAGCAAGUUCCAGCAAACCCUCACCAACCAGUAAAGGAAUAGAGAACUUGUCUCUAGGCUCGUGUGAGUGGGGCCUAAUAGAGUAGUGAAGAGACUAAUCUGAGGCUGGAGGAAGCAUGAAAUCAAAGGGUAAUAACAAACCCAACAAAGACGAAUGUGUGAGCAAAAGUCCUCCUACUGCAAGUGGAUAAUGAAGAGCCGUUCUGUUGGAGAUUCGCUGCUGUGCUUGGAUCAUUGUGCUGUUGGAUGACUUGGUCUUGGCCACGUUUGGCCUCACAUUCAACUCCAGAACACUUUGGUAUGCAGAGAAGUUCAUGGUGGACUCAGUGACUCUGAGCUUCCCACAUCAUCAUCCCUCCACCGCCGUGCUGACAGCUGGUCUGAGGUCUUUGGUUGCUGCUGUGCAUUAGAUAUUACUCUCCCGUAGUCUUGUGGUUUGUUCAGAUGCAGCUUUGCAAACCUAAGCUGUGCAGCCAUGUUCUCUUGAGAAAAAAGAGGCUUUCUCCUGGCAGCUUUUCCAAACAGUCCACAUUUGUUCAGUCUUUUUCUAACUGUACCGUCAUGAACUUUAACUUUAAUAUGCUAUGUUGUAGCAUUGUGUUACACAAACCUUAAUGCCAACAAACUGAUAAAACUUCUGCUUUUAUAGAGGUCCUGUGAACACUUUAUUUUUCACAUUGCUAUAAAUCAGCAUCCAAACUUAUUUUUAGCACAAUGUCAGGGUUUUUUAUUCUUUCUGAGGUACACAGACCUUUUGGAAGGACGACCAGUGACCGGAAAACAGGGUCAUGGGUAGCUUAGGCUCAGUGACACUCUGUGCAGAACUAAUGUUCAGCACAAAUCACUGCAAACUUCAGUGUUUGCCACGACGGAGAGAUGUCAGAACAUAAAGUGCAGCUUGUUCUGAAUCGAGCUGCAUAGCUGCAAACCGGUCAGAGCGCCCAUGCUGACUGCAUAGAUAGCCUGCUCUGAUGAAUCGCAUUUCAUUCGCAUCAUUUACCAGGGGAAGAGAUGGCAGCAGGAUGCACAAUGAGAUGAAGGCAACAGAGCAAGUUUGAUGCUUCUGACUGUAUUGUGCUGCGAGUCGUGGCGUUCGUGGGGAUGUUAUUCAGACAAAUAUCACCGAGCUAAACAUUUCUGAAGAGUUUAAAUGAUCAGACUGAUUGGUGUGUAUCACAGCAAUAUCACAUAUGAGCUAAGCAGUCUCAUAUGUUAAUUAAAGCCAUGACAGUGAUGAAGUAGUAGACCUCUUGUGUUCAGCAUAAUUGCCAGGACAUUUCCACAGUGCCAUCAGACAGGAAAAUCAUAAA